rnacentral:piRNA from 1 species
UGAAACAAAUGGCUGGAUCCUGAUCUGGGC